CAGUAGCCGCGGUAAUACGUAGGUGGCAAGCGUUGUCCGGAAUUAUUGGGCGUAAAGGGCUCGCAGGCGGUUUCUUAAGUCUGAUGUGAAAGCCCCCGGCUCAACCGGGGAGGGUCAUUGGAAACUGGGAAACUUGAGUGCAGAAGAGGAGAGUGGAAUUCCACGUGUAGCGGUGAAAUGCGUAGAGAUGUGGAGGAACACCAGUGGCGAAGGCGACUCUCUGGUCUGUAACUGACGCUGAGGAGCGAAAGCGUGGGGAGCAAACAGGAUUAGAUACCCGUGUAGUCCCUGUCUCUUUACA
rnacentral:rRNA from 1 species